rnacentral:rRNA from 1 species
AGAGUUUGAUCCUGGCUCAGGAUGAACGCUAACUACAGGCUUAACACAUGCAAGUCGAGGGGCAGCAUGUUGGUUGCUUGCAACCAAUGAUGGCGACCGGCGCACGGGUGAGUAACGCGUAUCCAACCUACCCUUGUCCAUCGGAUAACCCGUCGAAGGGCGGCCUAACACGAUAUGCGGUUCUCAGCAGGCAUCUAACGAGAACGAAAUGUGAAGGAGAAGGAUGGGGAUGCGUCUGAUUAGCUUGUUGGCGGGGUAACGGCCACCAAGGCGACGAUCGAGUAGGGGUUCUGAGAGGAAGGUCCCCCANAUUGGAACUGAGACACGGUCCAAACUCCUACGGGAGGCA